CGCCAAGCUUGUGCCGGGGCGCGAUCGUUCGGCGUUCUGUCACGGUCAGACUGGAGGAAGUUAAGUCUGUGUGGGGUCUGUGCCUGACUUACAGGGCGCGUCAGCGGACUGAGACCCUGACCCCUGCCGUCCGCGUGACCUUCCAGGCGCCCUGACCGAAACUUUUCAUAAGCUGACAGUGUUUUUUAAAUCAUGGUUGGCAGGAUCAGUUUGGUGGGUCACGGACUAACAGUGUUUUGUUUUGUUUUGUUUUGUUUUGUUUUGUUUUGUUUUGUUUUGUUUUUUUAAGCCUGUAGGGGCACCUGGCUGGCUCAGUAGGGGAGGAGCAUGGGGCUUUUGAUACCAGGGUUGUGAGUUCAAGCCCCUCUUUGGGUGUGGAGAUUACUAAAAUAAAUAAACUUUAUUAAAAAAAAAAAAGAAGAAGAAGAAACCUACAGUGCAGUUCAUUAGGGCAGAGUUCAUACCAGUUUUGUGCAGGGUCCAUACAGCCAAACCCAAGGAGUAAGGAUGGGCUGUCCACUUACGGGCACCCGGAUUGGGGACGGCAGGCAAGAGGCACGGUGGGCUGAGCUGGGAACAGGAAGCAGGCACAACGGUGGAGAGCAGACAUUAAAAGAACCGCACACGUGGGGAUAAAGAUACAAGCUCUGGGAAGGGCCCACAGAAAGAAACAAGGGGCCUCCUUUAGCCAGGGAAGGGCUGAGCUGGAACGGUUCCACCGAGCUAGCAAGGCAGAGAAGGAUUUCACCUGCUCAGCGUCCUUGCCUCAAAAUUGUACCUCUCUCCAGCUCCAUGUGAGGUGAGGCUGCCUCUUGGAGCACUUGGAUCACACCGGUACCAAAAAUGGACUUUCUCUGCACUUCUAGCCCCGUGGAUGGCCUGCGAGUGGCAUUUUCUGGGUAUAACUGAGGCAUCCAGCUGGUGCUCCUUACAUGUUAGCAGAACAAAUCCCACCCACUGUCCCUGAGGAGGCCAUCCAUUCCUUACCGAAGCAAUCCACUAUCCUACUGGCAGAGUUAUCAGCUCAAGGUAAAUUGAGAGUGAAAUGUUUUUUGGAGAGCCCACAGAGACAUGUCACAGUUCUCUCCGUUUCUGGGCCUUCGAGUCAUGAGGAUCAGUCUCUGAUGUGGGACAGGGAUACAGCCACCCCUCCCAGGCAACUGGCAGCAAAACAUGAGAGGAGAACAGCAGAAAGGUGGAGCCAACCGUGGGAGAACCACACUUCUAGAGCCCAAAAAGGGCAAAAACAGUCACACAAGAACAAAAGAGCUCUUAAGAAUAGUGGGCUGGAUUCUAAAACUGGGACCCAAACACCUGGACAUUUCCUGUGUCCCUGCUGUGAUUGGCACUGGGCUGGGGGCACAGAUCUGAAGCCCACAGAACCCUGCCUUCAGGAGCUCAGAGUUGGUGGGUCCAGGAGAAGUGGAAUAAAUGAGGCAGAGUAUGAAACCCUGAGAGAGUUGGUCCUGCUGACCUCUUCAGUACCCUUCCCCUCACCCCUUGGCCUUGUACCUCACGCUCAUGGUCAAAAUGGACUAUGGUGGUUACCCAAACACACUGCCAAGUGCUCGUACCCCUGCUAUUUUCACUUCACUACUUGGAAUACUUUUCCUGCCUCAGCUAAAAUGUUACCUUCCUGCUGAAUGCUCUUUCAUUUUAUUAAAGAAAUACAGGCAUUAAUUGAGUGCUUACUACACUCUUACCUCUCCCUCCCAGCUCUGGCAGAAAUAAUUACAGUGGACCCUUACACCACCCGAGAGUGAAAUGCAUGGGUCCACUUAUACACAGAUUAUUUUCGAUAAAUACUGUACUGUACUUAU